rnacentral:lncRNA from 1 species
UUCUCAAAAUAUAUAGUUAUAUCAAGUUGAACAUACUUGUUCUAGUAAAUAUCGAUUGACGUCGGUUUUUAUCAAUAGUUAUACGUAAAGGUUGCAGAUUGGAGCUUGGAUCUUUUUCCUCACGCACAUAACUAGCUAGAUAAAAAAAAGGGAAUCUUGACUGGGCACGACCCCAUGCCUGUUGCGGAAGCACGUGGAGGGCAUUCGAAGUGUGUUCGAUCCGAGCGAAGCUUGACCAUUUAGACUUGAGUUUUACCUACAUCACAACAUCAAAGUAAGUUUCACUAAAAACUAAAUUCCUUACUACUAC